CAAAUAAAAAAAGUUCAAACAGCAAAAAAUAGAGUGGAGUUUAUUAUUUCCCCCUUAAUUUCUUGCUUGGUACUAUUUAGAAAAAGACUUGGUGGUUGGUAUCCGAGGCCCAAGUUCGAAUCCUAAUUGAUUCACAUUUUCAGUUAAAUUUAUUUCUAAAUGAAAUAAACGAAGCGAGUAAUGUCCUACCUAUCUCUCUCAAAAAAAAAAAAGAAGUAAUAUUUAGAAAAGGGGGUAAAUGAUCGAUUAUUUUCACUUUUGACAGUAGGCAAACAAAAUAUUCGUGAGGGUCAUUAGAAUAAAAUAGGACAAUAUAUUGACUGUAACAAUCAUGUAGCAUGACUCCUUAGCAAUAUUCAAAUUUUGUGACUAAUGGACUGAGAAUAUAGACAUAAAUAAGUGAAAUUUUAACGCACACUUCUGAUAUGGCGAGAGAUACAGCGUACGUAUUUAUCUCUGAGAUAUGCUAUAUAUAUGAGAUAUGCUAUAUAUAAUAUAAACAACAAUCAAAAUAAAUAUGAGAUAUGUAUAUGUGCGCGAUCAUUUACAAUAUAUAAACAAUCAAAAUAAAUAUGAGAUAUGUAUAUGUACACAGUCAUUUACAAAAUUUGAGACGCAAUAUACCAACUAUUAAAUGCCUAAAUAUCAUAUGCCUGAACUUUCAAUUAUUUCUGUUGCCUGUUCAUAGAUAGGAUCAAUAGGACUUGGAGCAUAGAUGUUAAUUAAGAUAAAUCUUACAUGAACACGCGCGCUAUAGUGCAAUACCAUUUCAAGAAUACGCUCUAGUAUCAUUUUAUGAAUGGAAGGUUGAGCAUGGACAUGGACAAGCUACACAUGAAUUUAAGAUGCCGCACUAUAUAUGUUGUUGUUAUGAUGACAAUUUUCAAAUUAAUUAUUGGGGCCUUAUAAUUAACAAAGAAAAUUUGGGCCCCUAUGUUAAUAUUUUUUUUAGAAACUCAAGGAUUGCCCUUUACAAAUUUAUCUUAUUUGACGUGUUAAAAGAAUAAUUAAGUAAACAACUUAGAUAAUUAUACAUGCGAGUUAUUUUUUCUGCACCGUGGUAUCUUUAAUUUUAAAACAAUGAGACUACAGAAUCUUUUGUACUUAUGUGUAUUAAUGUGAUGAUCACGAAUUAUCUACUUCGAAGUAAGAUCCGAAAUAUUACACCCAUUACUAGUCAGGUUACUAAUAAUUCAACAAUUCUGCAUUUAUUUGAUGGGUUCUCUUUCAUAUAGCAAGUUUGUAGAAGCUAGUAAAAUGCAAACUAACUUUUGUGAAUGCAAAUUAGUUCUCCUCGUGUGCAGUUAGAAUACAAAUAAAAGAGCUAGACUGGUAUACUAUCGGUAGCACAGAGGCUUCCGUGCUACCAAGUUGUUUUCAAUGAUGCGGCUUUAAAAUUGAUGAUCGGCUCUGUUAGACUUCAUCUAUACUAUUAAAAAUAUUUGGAAACUAAAUUUCAUAAUUAUUCGACAUCAUUUGGCUAGUGAUUAAAACGUCUCAAAAUUGAUAAUUUUAAUAGUAGAUGUGAGCCUUUUGUAAAUUUAACGGUGUAAAACAAUCCAAAGCAGAUAAAAUUUUUAUAAAAAAUUCUUUUUACUAUUUAGAGUAAGAUUAGUAUCUCUGAUCUUAAAUUCAAGUUUUCUAUCAUCAUUUUUUUAUGAGAUUUUUAUUUUUAGCCGUUCAUUUUUAGACUACUCGUUCGAUAGGUAAAUGAUACCGAAAAAUUAUGAAAUUUAGUUUCCAAAAACUUUCAAUAGUGUAGAUUAAGUUUAACGGAGUUGAUCGUCGAUUUGGGAGCGGUAUCAUUGAAAACAACUUGGUAGCAUAGAGGCCUCCGUGCUACUGAUAGUAUAUCAGCGUAGCUCCAAAUAAAAUAUUAUAAAAUAUAUAUUUAUUGUAGUUGAUUGAAUUAAAG
rnacentral:lncRNA from 1 species